GGAUUCGUAUUCAAACCAGCAAAUCCGCGUUACAGUCACAUCCGUUUCAGGGCUGUAACACGGAUCCAGCCCAGGUGCGGUUUCAGUGGGCGGGAAUUACAGUCGCAAAGCGGAUCUGAGCCCUGUCCGUGGAAACGAGCUCGCAUUUUUUUUUUCUGGAGUUCAGAACAGGAGAAGACGUCAAGACGGUCGAGGAAAAUACAGACUGCUCGCUGUUAUCCUCAAAAACCUCACCAAGGUUCCAGAGCAGGGACUGUCAAAUAGUAAGAGACAAAUGAAAAGGAGGGAGCUGUCUUUAAGCUGUGGAGUCAGACGGAGGGCUCACAUUUACCUCAAAAACAGCUUUGCAGAGGACUCUAUUACUACUAGAACCAACUCAAGCACACAAUGGUGACACAUUUAUAAGAACAUUUCCCUGUGGUAAUUAUUCAGAUUAU